rfam:Synechococcus phage S-CAM22 isolate 1209TA19, complete genome.
UAACAAACAACACCCCGCAAACCAAGACCUCUAGGGUGUAUAAACUACGUCUUUCAUACCUCGUCUUAGGGUGACGAGGAAUAGUAACUCCA